CGGAAGAGGAUGGGCAUGCGGCGCAUUAGCUAGACGGCGGGGUAACGGCCCACCGUGGCGACGAUGCGUAGGGGUUCUGAGAGGAACCUCCCCCACACUGGUACUGAGACACGGACCAGACUCCUACGGGAGGCAGCAGUGAGGAAUAUUGGUCAAUGGGAGAGAUCCUGAACCAGCCAAGCCGCGUGAGGGAAGACGGCCCUAUGGGUUGUAAACCUCUUUUGUCGGAGAACAAAACCCGGGACGUGUCCCGGACUGCGUGUAUCCGAAGAAAAAGCAUCGGCUAACUCCGUGCCAGCAGCCGCGGUAAUACGGAGGAUGCGAGCGUUAUCCGGAUUUAUUGGGUUUAAAGGGUGCGUAGGCGGUCCGUUAAGUCAGCGGUAAAAUUGCGGGGCUCAACCCCGUCGAGCCGUUGAAACUGGCAGACUUGAGUUGGCGAGAAGUACGCGGAAUGCGCGGUGUAGCGGUGAAAUGCAUAGAUAUCGCGCAGAACUCCGAUUGCGAAGGCAGCGUACCGGCGCCAGACUGACGCUGAGGCACGAAAGCGUGGGGAUCGAACAGGAUUAGAUACCCUGGUAGUCCACGCAGUAAACGAUGAAUGCUGGUUGUCCGGGUCGAAUGAGAUCUGG
rnacentral:rRNA from 1 species